rnacentral:rRNA from 1 species
UACAGGGGGGCAAGCGUUGUUCGGAAUUACUGGGCGUAAAGGGUUCGUAGGUGGCCACUUAAGUCAGACGUGAAAUCCCUCAGCUUAACUGGGAACUGCGUCUGAUACUGGGUGGCUUGAGUGCAGGAGAGGAAUGCGGAAUUCCAGGUGUAGCGGUGAAAUGCGUAGAUAUCUGGAGGAACACCGGUGGCGAAGGCGGUUCUCUGGGCCUGUACUGACGCUCAUGCACGAAAGCGUGGGAGCAACGAGG